rnacentral:misc_RNA from 1 species
GUAGGUGAACCUGCGGAAGGAUCAUUACUGUAUCUUUUCACAAACAUAAACCCCCCUGUGCAUUUUCGGCUGCGGGGAGAGAGCAACGGUUCCCUUUGGGGGCCUUUCUCUUUCCCUCGUCGAUAAAACCCCAAAUAACAAACCUUGACUUGAAAGAAAAACCAUGAUUUUACCAUAUAUCUUUGUUUUUACACAAAAUAACGUAAUACAAAAGAACAACUUCUAGCAACGGAUCUCUUGGCUCUCGCAU